rnacentral:rRNA from 1 species
GAUAAACGCUGGCGGCGUGCCUAACCCAUGCAAGUCGAACGAUCUCGCAAGAGAGAGUGGCGAACGAGUGAGUAACACGUAGGAAUCUGCCCCUUCGGAGGGAAUAACUAAUCGAAAGAUUAGCUAAUACCCAAGAAGCUUAGCAAUAAGCAGAGUCGAAAGGCCUGGAGGGAGGAGCCUGCGGCCCAUCAGCUAGUUGGUGAGGUAAGAGCUUACCAAGGCUACGACGGGUAGGGGGCCUGAGAGGGCGUACCCCCACGCUGGAACUGAAACACGGUCCAGACGCCUACGGGUGGCAGCAGGGAGGAGUAUUGCGCAAUGGGGGCAACCCUGACGCAGCAACGCCGCGUGAGUGAGGAAGGUUUUCGGACUGUAAAGCUCUGUCGAGCGGGAAGAAGUGUACUAUGGCUAAUAUCCAUGAUAUUUGACGGUACCGCUAGAGGAAGCACCGGCUAACUCCGUG